UACGUAGGUGGCGAGCGUUGUCCGGAUUUACUGGGCGUAAAGGGCGUGCAGGCGGUCUGUUAAGUGCAGGGUGAAAGCUCCCGGCUCAACUGGGAGAGGUCCUUGCAUACUGGCGGACUUGAGGGGGGUAGAGGAAAGUGGAAUUCCCGGUGUAGUGGUGAUAUGCGUAGAUAUCGGGAGGAACACCUGUGGCGAAGGCGGCUUUCUGGGCCCUACCUGACGCUGAGGCGCGAAAGCCAGGGGAGCGAACGGG
rnacentral:rRNA from 1 species